rnacentral:rRNA from 1 species
GACGAACGCUGGCGGCGUGCUUAACACAUGCAAGUCGAACGGAAAGGCCCUGCUUUUGUGGGGUGCUCGAGUGGCGAACGGGUGAGUAACACGUGAGUAACCUGCCCUUGACUUUGGGAUAACUUCAGGAAACUGGGGCUAAUACCGGAUAGGAGCUCCUGCUGCAUGGUGGGGGUUGGAAAGUUUCGGCGGUUGGGGAUGGACUCGCGGCUUAUCAGCUUGUUGGUGGGGUAGUGGCUUACCAAGGCUUUGACGGGUAGCCGGCCUGAGAGGGUGACCGGCCACAAUGGGACUGAGAUACGGCCCAGACUCCUACGGGAGGCAGCAGUGGGGAAUAUUGCACAAUGGGCGGAAGCCUGAUGCAGCGACGCCGCGUGCGGGAUGACGGCCUUCGGGUUGUAAACCGCUUUCGCCUGUGACGAAGCGUGAGUGACGGUAAUGGGUAAAGAAGCACCGGCUAACUACGUG